CCUGACCCCUGGCGCUUCCCAAGUGAGGCAGUGCCUCGCCCUGCUUCGGCUCGCGCACGGUGCGCGCACCCACUGACCUGUGCCCACUGUCUGGCACUCCCUAGUGAGAUGAACCCGGUACCUCUGAUGGAAAUGGAGAAAUCACCCGUCUUCUGCGUUGCUCACGCUGGGAGCUGUAGACCGGAGCUGUUCCUAUUCGGCCAUCUUGCCAUUUUUCCUUUUUAUUUUGGGGUGAAGAACAGAUUGGAGGCAGGAGAAAUGACUAAGCACACAGUCUGCUUGUUUGAUUGAGCCUGAGUGACAAAAAGCAUAAACGAACCAAGUAUCCCUUCUAGGUAUAAUCAAUUAGGUUGGUAAAGCCUGAAGGAGGCUCUCCAGUGAUGCUGCCACCUCCCAGGAGGGAUACCAUGUUGAUGUCUCAGAAGUAAUGUGAGCUGGUGGAGAGAUCCCUGAUGCUAUUACUAACCAGCCACACUAUCUUGAACAAGUCACUUCAUCUUUUUGUGCUUUACCUAAUGCUAGCAAGAGCUUGUACUUAUUGAAUUCUUAUUAUGAUCUAGCCUCUGGAUUAUUACAUUUGUUACUUGCAUGAGCUGACUUUCAUGAGCUCAUGGCAAUACUCCUAUAAAUGCACGUGCUAUGAUAUUUUGCCUAUUUUUUUACAGAUGGGGAAAGGGUGGCUUAGAGAAACCAAAUAUGACUUGCUCAACAAAUAACUUCUAAGGAAUAACAUGGAAUCAGGUUCAAAUCUUCUUGGCCCCCAAGUCCAUGCUCCUAACCACAUGUGAAGAUUUCAUCUUCAUCUGUGGAAAUGGGGAUAACAAAGACAUGCGCAACCCCCAUAGCUGGGCUCUUGGGGGCUCAGUGAGAUAAUUUAUGGUCAACAUAGUGUCCAAAAUCCAGGAUUCCUGUCCCAGAACAAGGGUCUGGGGCUUAUUCUUAUUCAGUUUAGCCACCGAGUACUGGUAAGGGGAUCCUCACUGCCUUUCCCCUGCCGGUCCCGGGGAUCCCUCUUUAGGUUUGUAAGUGUUCUGGGGUACUAGGCUUGGAAAUGUUCUAGUUGCCGUGUAAAGUCAUCACUCCUGGUGGGCAGUCAAUAGACAAAUCACUUCAUACACCUGAAAAAUACUUAGGCUUUUUCUCAGGCCAGAGCCUUUCCUUCUCCCCAGACUCCCAGAGCCCCAGCUGAUCAUCAAAUAAACUUGCUCCUCCUCAGUAAUUCCCUCACCAAACUCUAUUUUUUCACAUGAAUUUUCUCCACCUCUAAAACCGUCUAUUUUCAUUUGCUUUUAUAAAAGGCCUUGUUUUGCCAUUAAACUCAGAGUUAGAACUAGUAUCAGGCUAAAAACUGGUUUUAUUUCUUUGAAGUUAAGAAAAGCUUAAGCUUCAAACAUUCUUAGGAAGUGUGGGGAAAAUAUAUAUGUAUACAUUCUAACUUUCUAAUGCAGCACAGAAUAGAUAUAUGAGCAAAAGUGUUGUUUUCAUAAUAAAGAAGGUUGAAUGCUCAUACCCUGUCACAUAAAUAACAGUGCUUUGAAAACUGCAAAGUCAUCCAGAAAUGUAAAGAAAUAUAAGAACAGUUGAAUCACCCCCCCAAGACUUGGUGAAUGUUACUGAAGUAUUCUCAUUUAGUGGUAGUUUCCAAAUUUCUUUGUCCAUGUGAACCACAGAAAUUGUGUUAGGCAGAUAACAGGCACACACAUCUUGUGAUUAACUAGAGGAGUCCUUAAUAAUGACGUGU
rnacentral:lncRNA from 10 species